AUUGAACGCUGGCGGCAUGCCUUACACAUGCAAGUCGAACGGUAGAGUAGCAAUACUUGAGAGUGGCGAACGGGUGAGUAAUAUAUCGGAACGUGCCCAGUCGUGGGGGAUAACGUAGCGAAAGCUACGCUAAUACCGCAUACGAUCUAUGGAUGAAAGCGGGGGAUCGCAAGACCUCGCGCGAUUGGAGCGGCCGAUAUCAGAUUAGGUAGUUGGUGAGGUAAAGGCUCACCAAGCCGACGAUCUGUAGCUGGUCUGAGAGGACGACCAGCCACACUGGAACUGAGACACGGUCCAGACUCCUACGGGAGGCAGCAGUGGGGAAUUUUGGACAAUGGACGCAAGUCUGAUCCAGCCAUUCCGCGUGCAGGAUGAAGGCCCUCGGGUUGUAAACUGCUUUUGUACGGAACGAAAGGUUUCUAUUAAUACUAGGAGCUCAUGACGGUACCGUAAGAAUAAGCACCGGCUAACUACGUGCCAGCA
rnacentral:rRNA from 1 species